CCUACGGGGGGCAGCAGUGGGGAAUAUUGCACAAUGGGGGAAACCCUGAUGCAGCGACGCCGCGUGAGUGAAGAAGUCUUUCGGUUUGUAAAGCUCUAUCAGCAGGGAAGAAAAUGACGGUACCUGAUUAAGAAGCCACGGCUAACUACGUGCCAGCAGCCGCGGUAAUACGUAGGGGGCAAGCGUUAUCCGGAUUUACUGGGGGGAAAGGGAGCGUAGACGGCAGCACAAGUCUGGAGUGAAAUGCCGGGGCUUAACCCCGGCACUGCUUUGGAAACUGUGCGGCUAGAGUGCAGGAGAGGUAAGUGGAAUUCCUAGUGUAGCGGUGAAAUGCGUAGAUAUUAGGAGGAACACCAGUGGCGAAGGCGGCUGCCUGGACUGUAACUGACGUUGAGGCUCGAAAGCGUGGGGAGCAAACAGGAUUAGAUACCCGUGUAGUC
rnacentral:rRNA from 1 species